GAUGAACGCUAGCGGCAGGCUUAACACAUGCAAGUCGAGGGGUAGAAGUCUUCGGACUUUGAGACCGGCGCACGGGUGCGUAACGCGUAUGCAAUCUGCCUUGUACAAAGGGAUAGCCCAGAGAAAUUUGGAUUAAUACCUUAUAGUAUAUAGAUGGGGCAUCACAAUUAUAUUAAAGAUUUAUCGGUACAAGAUGAGCAUGCGUCCCAUUAGCUAGUUGGUAUGGUAACGGCAUACCAAGGCAAUGAUGGGUAGGGGUCCUGAGAGGGAGAUCCCCCACACUGGAACUGAGACACGGACCAGACUCCUACGGGAGGCAGCAGUAAGGAAUAUUGGUCAAUGGGCGCAAGCCUGAACCAGCCAUGCCGCGUGCAGGAUGAAGCAUCUAUGGUGUGUAAACUGCUUUUGUACGGGAAGAAACACCUCUUCGUGAAGAGGCUUGACGGUACCGUAAGAAUAAGGAUCGGCUAACUCCGUGCCAGCAGCCGCCGUAA
rnacentral:rRNA from 1 species